CCUACGGGAGGCAGCAGUGGGGAAUAUUGCGCAAUGGGCGAAAGCCUGACGCAGCGACGCCGCGUGAGGGAUGAAGGCCUUCGGGUCGUAAACCUCUUUCAGCAGGGAAGAAGCGCAAGUGACGGUACCUGCAGAAGAAGCACCGGCUAACUACGUGCCAGCAGCCGCGGUAAUACGUAGGGUGCAAGCGUUGUCCGGAAUUAUUGGGCGUAAGGAGCUCGUAGGCGGUCUGUCGCGUCUGCUGUGAAAACCUAGGGCUUAACUCUGGGCGUGCAGUGGGUACGGGCAGACUAGAGUGCGGUAGGGGAGACUGGAAUUCCUGGUGUAGCGGUGAAAUGCGCAGAUAUCAGGAGGAACACCGGUGGCGAAGGCGGGUCUCUGGGCCGUAACUGACGCUGAGGAGCGAAAGCAUGGGGAGCGAACAGGAUUAGAUACCCUGGUAGUCCAUGCCGUAAACGUUGGGCGCUAGGUGUGGGGCACAUUCCACGUGUUCUGUACCGCAGCUAACGCAUUAAGCGCCCGCCUGGGGAGUACGGCCGCAAGGCUAAAACUUAAAGGAAUUGACGG
rnacentral:rRNA from 1 species